rnacentral:rRNA from 1 species
UACGUAGGGUGCAAGCGUUGUCCGGAAUUAUUGGGCGUAAAGAGCUCGUAGGCGGUUAGUCGCGUCUGCUGUGAAAACUCGGGGCUUAACCCUGGGCCCGCAGUGGGUACGGGCUGACUAGAGUGCGGUAGGGGAGACUGGAAUUCCUGGUGUAGCGGUGAAAUGCGCAGAUAUCAGGAGGAACACCGGUGGCGAAGGCGGGUCUCUGGGCCGUAACUGACGCUGAGGAGCGAAAGCGUGGGGAGCAAACAGG